GUGCUCGCUUAGGCAACACAUAUACUAAAAUUGGAGCAAUACAGAGAAGAUUAACAUGGCCCCUGCACAAGAAUGACACACAGAGUCAAGACAGUUAACUACUUGUC
rnacentral:snRNA from 1 species